GUUUCUGUGGUGUAGUGGUUAUCACGUUUGCUUUACACGCAAAAGGUCUCCGGUUCGAUCCCGGGCAGGAACAGUUAAUUGUUUUUAUAUUUUUGCUGUUAUUAAAAGCUAAUGCACCAAAAUGUUUUCAUCAGCUAACAAUAGACAUAAGAUGUUUCUGUGGUGUAGUGGUUAUCACGUUUGCUUUACACGCAAAAGGUCUCCGGUUCGAUCCCGGGCAGGAACA
rnacentral:tRNA from 1 species